CCCGCCUCUAUUUGUCAGGUCUUGAGGAAAGUUGUAAAGAGCCUGCACUUUUGCUAAGUGCCCCAGGGACCCACUUCUUUGCACCCCCCACUGCUGGACUGGGCUCAGUUUCAUCUUCUCAGAGCCCCUCUUCCUCCAUCCGAUGGAAGGCGGUUCCUCGCCUGCCAGUCUCUGCCUUGGGUUCUUCUUCGUUUCUUUCCUCCAUCACAAUUUGUGAUGAGGUUGUUGAUUUUUUAAAAGCAUUUGUGUCCUCUACUCCUUGAACAUCAGCUCCUUAAGGACAGGAGACCCUGUCUGUCUGAGGAGUUACAGCCUGCCGCCUAGCUGUAAUAUGUAAAACACAAAGAAAUAUGAAAGGAUCCCUCAGGAACUUUAACUUCCUAUAUUGGUGAAAAAUGCUUCAAAGUUAGCAAAAGACCAACUUCUAGAGCCUUUGGAAUAUUUUUGAAGGCAAGAGCUUAUGUGAUAUCAGAUGCUGUAAAUUCUUAGCUCACGUCUACAACAGUAUGCUUUCAAUAAACGUUUUCUCUUGCUG
rnacentral:lncRNA from 1 species